rnacentral:rRNA from 1 species
AGAUUGAACGCUGGCGGCAUGCCUAACACAUGCAAGUCGAACGGGAGUAGCAAUACUCUAGUGGCGGACGGGUGAGGAAUACGUAGGAAUUUUGCCCCUUAAGUGGGGGAUAACCCGGGGAAACCCGGAUUAAUACCGCAUGACCUACGAAAGAGCAAAGUGGGGGAUCGCAAGACCUCACGCUUUUGGAGAAGCCUACGUCGGAUUAGCUAGUUGGUGAGGUAAUGGCUCACCAGGCGACGAUCCGUAACUGGUCUGAGAGGAUGAUCAGUCACACCGGAACUGAGACACGGGUCCGACUCCGUACGGGAGACCAGCAGGUAGGGGAAUAGUUGGAACCAAUGGGGACGCGAACGGCCCUAGGA